rnacentral:rRNA from 1 species
UACGUAGGGGGCGAGCGUCGUCCGGAUUUAUUGGGCGUAAAGAGCGUGUAGGCGGUUCGGUAAGUCUGUCGUGAAAUCCUGAGGCUCAACCCUGGACGUGCGAUGGAUACUGCCGGGCUAGAGGAUGGUAGAGGCGAGUGGAAUUCCCGGUGUAGCGGUGAAAUGCGCAGAUAUCGGGAGGAACACCAGUAGCGAAGGCGGCUCGCUGGGCCAUUCCUGACGCUGAGACGCGAAAGCUAGGGGAGCGAACAGG